UACAGAGGUCCCAAGCGUUGUUCGGAUUCACUGGGCGUAAAGGGUGCGUAGGUGGUGGGGUAAGUCUGAUGUGAAAUCCCGCAGCUCAACUGCGGAACUGCAUCGGAUACUAUCUCACUAGAGGGUUUGAGGGGGGACUGGAAUUCUCGGUGUAGCAGUGAAAUGCGUAGAUAUCGAGAGGAACACCAGUGGCGAAGGCGAGUCCCUGGAAAACUCCUGACACUGAGGCACGAAAGCUAGGGGAGCAAACAGG
rnacentral:rRNA from 1 species